UGAGGAAUAUUGGUCAAUGGGCGCAAGCCUGAACCAGCCAUGCCGCGUGCAGGAUGAAGCAUCUAUGGUGUGUAAACUGCUUUUGUACGGGAAGAAACCACCCCUCGUGAGGGGUAUUGACGGUAUCGUAAGAAUAAGGAUCGGCUAACUCCGUGCCAGCAGCCGCGGUAAUACGGAGGAUCCAAGCGUUAUCCGGAAUCAUUGGGUUUAAAGGGUCCGUAGGCGGGUCUGUAAGUCAGUGGUGAAAUCUCCCCGCUCAACGGGGAAACUGCCAUUGAUACUGCUAGUCUUGAAUUUAGGAGAAGUAACUAGAAUAUGUAGUGGAGCGGUGAAAUGCGUAGAUAUUAGAUAGAAUACCGAUUGCGAAGGCAGGUUACUGGGAAUGGAUUAACGCUGAUGGACGAAAGCGUGGGUAGCGAACG
rnacentral:rRNA from 1 species